rnacentral:rRNA from 1 species
GGAGGGUGCAAGCGUUAUCCGGAUUUACUGGGUUUAAAGGGUGCGUAGGUGGGUAGGUAAGUCAGUGGUGAAAUCUUCGAGCUUAACUCRGAAACUGCCAUUGAUACUAUUUAUCUUGAAUAAUCUGGAGGUAAGCGGAAUAUGUCAUGUAGCGGUGAAAUGCUUAGAUAUGACAUAGAACACCAAUUGCGAAGGCAGCUUACUACAUAGUUAUUGACACUGAGGCACGAAAGCGUGGGGAUCAAACAGGAUUAGAUACCCUGGUAGUCCACGCCCUAAACGAUGGAUACUCGACAUCAGCGAUACACUGUUGGUGUCUGAGCGAAAGCAUUAAGUAUCCCACCUGGGAAGUACGAUCGCAAG